rnacentral:rRNA from 1 species
AUGCACGCUGGCGGCGUGCCUAAUACAUGCAAGUCGAGCGAACGGACGAGAAGCUUGCUUUUCUGAUGUUAGCGGCGGACGGGUGAGUAACACGUGGAUAACCUACCUAUAAGACUGGGAUAACUUCGGGAAACCGGAGCUAAUACCGGAUAAUAUUUUGAACCGCAUGGUUCAAAAGUGAAAGACGGUCUUGCUGUCACUUAUAGAUGGAUCCGCGCUGCAUUAGCUAGUUGGUAAGGUAACGGCCUACCAAGGCAACGAUGCAUAGCCGACCUGAGAGGGUGAUCGGCCACACUGGAACUGAGACACGGUCCAGACUCCUACGGGAGGCAGCAGUAGGGAAUCUUCCGCAAUGGGCGAAAGCCUGACGGAGCAACGCCGCGUGAGUGAUGAAGGUCUUCGGAUCGUAAAACUCUGUUAUUAGGGAAGAACACAUGUGUAAGUAACUGUGCACAUCUUGACGGUACCUAAUCAGAAAGCCACGGCUAACUACGUG